ensembl:lncRNA
GUCUAUCAGGUUUACAGAAACCAAGUUAGAUGCUUCCUGGGAACAAACGUUCAAAGGGCUGACGAGUUUCCGUGUGUCGACUUGAGGCGAAGGUCCAGUCUGCAGCUUUCUACUUCAAAACUCGAAAGAGAGGGUCAGACUUUUUUUGGCUUAAGCAUAAAAAAAACCUCACCUCCCAGUCAACUAAAAGGACUUGGAGCUUCUCCCUCUCCAACAGUGGUGGACCAGCGAAUCUGCUCCGCGUUUUGUCAGAAACGGCACGGUACCGGUGGCGUAAGAACCUUCCGAGGAGCAGCGCGUGCUGCGACAAAGACUCCACACAGUUUGUACUGUGACCAAAGAUGGCACAAGAGCUCAGUCCACAAAAAGAGUGUGGUCAAUGACAAAAAAAGAAAAAAAAAUUGACACUUUGGACACAACUUCAACACUCGCCUUAUAGUUUUUUCUUGAGCCCAUUUAUUGUCAGGAUUGUAAAUUGUUUUUGGUAUAUUUUUCCUUCCUUUUUAAAACUUAAACUAACACAAAAGCUUUUUUCUGUAUAAAGAAAAUGGGAAUAACUUUAAAAAAAAGGGGGGUAAAUUACCAGGAAGCUGUUCCACUUUCACAGAUUUGACUAUAAACUUCACAAGUUCUUAUAUAUUGAAAUCUUAGAGCAGGUAUAAUGUUUGUACUUGAUAAAGCUGGUUUGAUUUUAAACAAGGACAUUUCCAAAAAAAAUUUUAAAAACAAAUAAAUAAAAAUUCCAUGAUUUAAUUCUGCAAAAAAGAAAAAGAAAAGCAGCCUUUCAGAGUACUCAUAUUUUCAUGCAUGCUCUUCACAUUAUUUUAAGUACAGUUUUUACACUAUAUUCAAAGAACAAAUAAAACCCUUUAUCUGUGUACUCAUAUAGCCCACAUGUUUGUCAUCCGUUUCAUACUUUGAAUUAAAAGCGGGAGCAUUUAUCACGCUGUGGGUGGAAAAGGUUUGAACAGCUUCUUCAGGUUGUGGUGUCUCGUCUUUCUGUGUAAAUCCGGAGGACAGCUUCUUCUGCAAAAGAGAGGCGAUCUGAAUGUAAAUGCUAGUCGGCCGGCUCGCUGUAAAAUUAUAAAUGUACUGUGUGUAUUGGCUGUAAGGUGUAGGAGUCUCUGUUCACCAUUAGACUGUCUGUAAUCAUUUUGUGUCAUUUGGGUUUUUUUUUUUUGUUUUUGUUUUUUAAAGGCUGCAGUGGUGAUAAAGGAAAACUGGGGCAUUUCACUUUGGAUUUUUUUGGUGAAGUAUUUCCUUGAUUUUAAAAGCUAUUCACAUUAAGGACACAAAGCUAUUAUUUGAUUGUAGCUCUUAAAUAGCAUAAUGUAUGAAAAAAACACUGGAUGGUCGAAAACGAUAAUUUAAGCAUCGAAUAAAUUGUGAUUUACUCUGAAACUGUGUGAUCUCUUUAGACUUGAGAGUGUAUAUGCAGUGUCUAAUAGAACUGUUUUCGCUAGCUCACUGAAAAGAAAAAAAAAUACUUUAUUUUAGGGAUCUUUGUAUUGAUUUUCAUUAGAUGCCAUGUAGUUCAUGUGUGGUGUUCUACUGAUUUGAUGCCGAUGCCUAUGCUGUUGGCACCGGAAACUAUAUAACUUUUUUAAGGGGGUGUUAAGGAAGCCACAUGGGGUGCUAAACGUCACCCUCUUACACAACUACAUCAAUCAGGGGUUAGAUUAUCCUUUAAUAUGGUUGAACGAUCAAUGAAACUGUCAACUUUGUUUGAUAUGUGUUUUCACCUGAGCAGAUUUUUUGAUGUACAAUUCUUACUAACAGAGUGAAGCCAUUGAAAUGUAACUAUUCUAGCACUUUGGUUAUUCAAUUUUAGAGACUAUAGCAGCAAAGAUGCCAUCACAAAUGUUUGAGACGUCUUUCAAAAAAAAGAAAAAAAAAACUUAACAAUAAAAAUGCAUUGAUUUUGCAGUACGUGUGUUUUUUAUUUUAUUUUUCUUCGUGUCAGAAUCAUUUUUACUCUUUGUUGAGAUGUAAUGAUGUCCAAAUGACAGGAAUUUUUAACAACAGGGCAUUUCUGAGUAAAGAGAUGGACUUGAAUAUUUUAGAGUUCAUCAAUAGUUCAAGUCAAGGCCCGGGGGCCAGCUCCGCCCCCCUGGGUAAUUAUUUGAGUAAAAUAUUGAAAGUUAUUUAAGGUUUAAGUUGAUUUAUUCUGGAGUAAUAUUCCUGCCUUUUUAUUAUUCAUAACUUUGUUAAAAAUUUACAGUUUAAAAAAUUGUCAUUCUGCUAGUUUUUUUUUAACUAGUUUGGCAUUUACUACAACUUUUUUUAGGCUAUUUUGGAGUUUAUUUGUCCAUUAUUUGUUGCACAUUUUAUUUUUAUGUUGUGUUCAAGCUAAGAAAUAAAUAGGGAUAUAUUUUCCUGAAAAAGAUAUGUUCUUCUGUAUAAUGUGAGUUAUUAGAGCUGUUUUUUUUAACCAAUAAUCACAGUAUUGCGAUUGAUUGGUCUCGUGAACCAUGCUUCGUAUUGUGAGGUACUCGGUGAUUCCCAGCACAAGCUCUAGCAUUCUGAAUGAGCCACAAUAUUUGAAGAUUCUGUAACAUUCACUCAGCCAGCAUUAGAUGACAUCAUAAAUCUGCUUUUAAAAUUAUUCGUUGCUAUGGGGUUUUAAAAAUUAGAAAUGUGACACGAAGAAUUAUGAAAACUCAGAGAGAGAAGUGUUCUUAGCCAUCCAACUACAACAAAAGCAUUAAAAGUGUUAAUGAAGACUUGGCAUAAGAAAUAUUUAAUUAAAGGGUUAACCAUAAUAUUUGUAUUAGAAUUGACAGUUACAGUUGCAACAGUAUAAUAAAUGCCAUGAAAUUAAGGUAAACUUUCAUUUUUAUUAAGUCAUUCCUUUUAACUAUUAUAUUAUGUUUUUUAAUUAUAUGUAUUUUGUAAUUUUUGUACUUAUAUCAAAUUUACAAAUGGGUUUGCU